rnacentral:rRNA from 1 species
GACGUAGGGCGCAAGCGUUGUCCGGAAUCAUUGGGCGUAAAGAGCGUGUAGGCGGUCCGGUCAGUCGGUUGUGAAAGUCAAGGGCUCAACCCUUGAAUGCCGGCCGAUACUGCCGGGCUAGAGUCCGGAAGAGGUGAGUGGAAUUCCUGGUGUAGCGGUGAAAUGCGCAGAUAUCAGGAGGAACACCGAUGGCGAAGGCAGCUCACUGGGACGGUACUGACGCUGAGACGCGAAAGCGUGGGGAGCAAACAGG